GUGCAUAUGAUGGAAAAACUUUUAACCUUCUGAGACUUGUGAUGUUCUCAAAGGAACCGCUGAUGCAC